AAAAAAACAGAAGAGAACUCCUCUCUUCUCUCUGGGUUAGCCCAGAUUUUGCCCAAGAAGUCGGCCGACCACCGCCACAACCAAGCCGUCGGUCCGCCGUUGCCGGCCACAGCGCACAGUGGUUAGAAUUCCAAAAAAGGUAUAUUUUUUAUUUUUUUAUUUUCUUUUAUAUAUUUAUAUAUAUAACUGUUUUUUAAAGAAAAAUAGAGAAUAUCUAUGUAUUCAUGUAAGUAGAUAAAAAAGAAAAUAAAUAAAAAAGAAAGACAAAGAAAAAAAGUACCCUUGUAUAACUUGGUUUUUUUCUCUAAAUCUGUUUGUAGAUUUUUUUUUAUAUUUGAAUCUUUUUUUAUUGUAUUCAAUAUAUUCCCACCUUACAAUAUAUUUUGUUGGCUUUUUAUAGCCAUUUACAAAGUUUAAAUCUUAUUAUUUUGUAUGCUGUCAUUUCUGCUUUCUAUCUUUGCAGGUGCAAGUGGCGAGGGUGGUGGCGACGCGACAGUGGCGGUGGCAGCAGCGGCGCUUUGCAGUGGCUAGGGUGGCGAUGGCGGCUGAUAAGAAAACCUAGGGGCUAGGGUUUCUUUUUUUUUUCUGUUAUUGGGCUGGUGGUUUUUAAUUGGGUUUCGGUUUGAUUUUGAUUUGAGGUUUGUUGGGUUUGGUUUGGUUUGGACUGAUAGGUUUUGGGUUUUAGUUUAGUUAGGUUGGGUCUGUUGAGUUUAGCUGAUUUGGUUUAAGUUUGGGUUUUAAUGGGCCCGGGUAGAAAAUUGGGUUGUACAAGUAUAUUUUCCAACCAAAUAUUUCAUAUAAAUAAUAAUUUUAUCAUAAAAUUUUUGAAAAUUGAUCAAAAUAUCAUUUCGG
rnacentral:lncRNA from 1 species